GAACACUUCCAGGGAUGGGGCACCCACAGCUUCUCAGGGCAACCUCUUCCAGUGUUUCACCACCCUCUGAAUAAGGAAUUUCUUAAAACUGUUCCCUUUUGUUCUAUCAUUACCUGCUCAUAUCCAGUUUCCCUGACAAAGAUGACAAUCAUUCCAUCUUUGAUCAUUGGAGUAUCAGAACACUUUACUAUUAAGAGAGAAACUCCCUGCAGUAUCCUAUUUGCAGGUUCCCGUCUGUCUCCUGUGCAAGCUUUUGGGAUGGAAUAAAGGGAUAUUGCAUGCCAGGAUGAUGAGUCAGGGCUGGAAACAGCGGUGUUCUGACUGGUGCCUUUUCACAGCUGCAUGAGAGCCCUUCCACCACUGCCCACCACCCUUCCAGCAACUGCACCGCCUAUGUAACACCAACCAGGGCUGCAGGGAGGGGAGACACAGAACCUCUUAAUUUAUCUUUCCUGGCCUGAUGAGUCCUCAUCUGUUUACCUCUGAAUCUUUGACAACACUGUUUUCACACUUAUUCUCAAAUACCCAAAUACAUCAUGUCCUGGGAUGACCACAAACUAUAGCAUAGUUACUGGGAUUACAUUUCUUCUAUCCUCCUUUUAAAAAGAGAUACCAUAUUUGCUGGUUUGCGGUCCUCUAAUAUAACCUAUGAUUUUAUGAACU